rnacentral:lncRNA from 1 species
UUUUCUGUCAAGAUUGAGGAGGAAGAAGCCAGAGUUUAAAGAUCUCAGAGAGAGCCGAGGCAUAGCCAUCUAUGAAGGGUGGCAGGGAGGACCGCUGGCCCAGGGCAGCCCCAGGACCAGGCAGAGAGCCCCCGCCACACCCAGCCCCUCCUCACCCUGAUAUACUGAGGACACUCGGUCUCUAGCAAUUUCUUCAGCUCGGUCAACAUGAUGCCCACGGACUUGCCCCACCUGAAAAACAGAACCUUCUGGGGAAUCCCAUGGCAGGGAAUUUGCAUCUGGCCAGGGCAGUACGCA